rnacentral:rRNA from 1 species
GCUCAACCGGGGGGGGUCAUUGGAAACUGGGGAACUUGAGUGCAGAAGAGGAGAGUGGAAUUCCACGUGUAGCGGUGAAAUGCGUAGAGAUGUGGAGGAACACCAGUGGCGAAGGCGACUCUCUGGUCUGUAACUGACGCUGAGGCGCGAAAGCGUGGGGAGCGAACAGGAUUAGAUACCCUGGUAGUCCACGCCGUAAACGAUGAGUGCUAAGUGUUAGAGGGUUUCCGCCCUUUAGUGCUGCAGCAAACGCAUUAAGCACUCCGCCUGGGGAGUACGGUCGCAAGACUGAAACUCAAAGGAAUUGACGGGGGCCCGCACAAGCGGUGGAGCACGUGGUUUAAUUCGAAGCAACGCGAAGAACCUUACCAGGUCUUGACAUCCUCUGACAACCCUAGAGAUAGGGCUUCCCCUUCGGGGGCAGAGUGACAGGUGGUGCAUGGUUGUCGUCAGCUCGUGUCGUGAGAUGUUGGGUUAAGUCCCGCAACGAGCGCAACCCUUGAUCUUAGUUGCCAGCAUUCAGUUGGGCACUCUAAGGUGACUGCCGGUGACAAACCGGAGGAAGGUGGGGAUGACGUCAAAUCAUCAUGCCCCUUAUGACCUGGGCUACACACGUGCUACAAUGGGCAGAACAAAG